rnacentral:sRNA from 1 species
AUAUCGCGCGAGCGAGUUUAACAAGGAACGACUUCAUCGAGCGCGAAUGACGCCGGGAAGGAUGUACGAGAGAGAACCCACCUUGCAGACAGGCCAUGUUUAUUCCAGGCCGUGACUUGAUUCUGAUCUACGGGCCGUUUUAAAGACACACUUGAUUCGAAAAAUGGGCUCUUUAGACUGCUCAAUGGCCGAGGCAUCUCUUCACCUCCAAGCUGUUUACCAAUUACGGCCUGAUUAGUCCCUGAUUCUUGAUGGAAAUAUUACAAUACGAUACCCUUUAUCUGGGGAGGGCUUUGCAAGUUACUCAGAAUUAAGAAGAAGAAGAAGGUUUAGUCACAGCUAGAACUGCAGAGCAAUCGCAUACUACUUAUCAGAUCAUAUGAAACGCCGCAAUAGUGUUAGCAAUCACAGGAGUUAUAAGUUAUAACCGUCCACCGGCAGAUCAAGGGUAGAUAGACAUCGGAGAUGAUAUCUACCGCAUUCACGAGCAUAUCGCAGAAGUCGAACAGGUUUAAUCGUUGGAAAAAAAAAAAAAAAUUUUUUUUUGGCAGGUGGAUGGUUUAACAGUACAUUGUUGAAGAAGUAUAAGCGAAGGACCACUGAUUGGAGGACUGGAAAGAGUAGAAGCCGGGUGAGGCAGAUUGAAGUGCAUGAGUGCAGGGUCCUCUAUGGGCAGAUCAUUCAAUGGCUGGAUGUUGAAAAGCACAAGCGAAGCAUCGUCGACAGGCAGGGUAAAUGAAUCACAAGCAG